GGUGUGUUGGUAGAAUGUGAUUAGAUGGUAGUUGUGUCAGUAGUGUAUGGUUGGUGUAAGGUGUGUUGGUAGAAUGUGAUUAGAUGGUAGUUGUGUUGGUAGUGUAUGAUUGGUGUAGGGUGUGUUGGUGGUUUGUGAUUAGGUGGUAGUUUUGUUAAUAGUGUAUGAUUGGUGUAGGGUGUGUUGGUGGUUUGUGAUUAGGUGGUAGUUUUGUUGGUAGUGUAUGAUUGGUGUAGGGUGUGUUGGUGAAUGUGAUUAGAUUGUAAUUUUGUUAAUAGUGUAUGAUUGGUGUGAGAUGUGUUGGUGGAAUGUGAUUAGAUGGUAGUUUUGUUAAUAGUGUAUGAUUGGUGUAAGAUGUGUUGGUGGAAUGUGAUUAGAUGGUAGUUGUGUCAGUAGUGUAUGGUUGGUGUAAGGUGUGUUGGUAGAAUGUGAUUAGAUGGUAGUUGUGUCAGUAGUGUAUGAUUGGUGUAGGGUGUGUUGGUGGAAUGUGAUUAGAUGGUAGUUGUGUCAGUAGUGUAUGAUUGGUGUAA
rnacentral:lncRNA from 1 species